UAGGGAAUCUUCCGCAAUGGGCGAAAGCCUGACGGAGCAACGCCACGUGAGUGAUGAAGGUCUUCGGAUCGUAAAACUCUGUUAUUAGGGAAGAACAAAUGUGUAAGUAACUAUGCACGUCUUGACGGUACCUAAUCAGAAAGCCACGGCUAACUACGUGCCAGCAGCCGCGGUAAUACGUAGGUGGCAAGCGUUAUCCGGAAUUAUUGGGCGUAAAGCGCGCGUAGGCGGUUUUUUAAGUCUGAUGUGAAAGCCCACGGCUCAACCGUGGAGGGUCAUUGGAAACUGGAAAACUUGAGUGCAGAAGAGGAAAGUGGAAUUCCAUGUGUAGCGGUGAAAUGCGCAGAGAUAUGGAGGAACACCAGUGGCGAAGGCGACUUUCUGGUCUGUAACUGACGCUGAUGUGCGAAAGCGUGGGGAUCAAACAGG
rnacentral:rRNA from 1 species